rnacentral:rRNA from 1 species
AUGAUGGCCAGGCUGUCUCCACCCGAGACUCAGUGAAAUUGAACUCGCUGUGAAGAUGCAGUGUACCCGCGGCAAGACGGAAAGACCCCGUGAACCUUUACUAUAGCUUGACACUGAACAUUGAGCCUUGAUGUGUAGGAUAGGUGGGAGGCUUUGAAGCGUGGACGCCAGUCUGCAUGGAGCCGACCUUGAAAUACCACCCUUUAAUGUUUGAUGUUCUAACGUGGACCCGUGAUCCGGGUUGCGGACAGUGUCUGGUGGGUAGUUUGACUGGGGCGGUCUCCUCCUAAAGAGUAACGGAGGAGCACGAAGGUUGGCUAAUCCUGGUCGGACAUCAGGAGGUUAGUGCAAUG